GAUGAACGCUAGCUACAGGCUUAACACAUGCAAGUCGCGGGGCAGCAUGGGGGUUGCUUGCAACCCCUGAUGGCGACCGGCGCACGGGUGAGUAACGCGUAUCCAACCUGCCCUUCACCACGGGAUAACCCGGCGAAAGUCGGACUAAUACCGUAUGUUGUCCAUUGACGGCAUCCGAUUUGGACGAAAGGCUUGGCGGUGGCAGGGUGGGGAUGCGUCCGAUUAGCUUGAUGGCGGGGGAACGGCACACCGUGGCUACGAGCGGUAGGGGUUCUGAGAGGAAGGUCCCCCACACUGGAACUGAGACACGGUCCAGACUCCUACGGGAGGCAGCAGUGAGGAAGAUUGGUCAAUGGGCGUAAGCCUGAACCAGCCAAGUAGCGUGCAGGAUGACAGCCCUAUGGGUUGUAAACUGCUUUUAUGCGGGGAUAAAGUGGCCCACGUGUGGGCUUUUGCAGGUACCGCAUGAAUAAGGACCGGCUAAUUCCGUG
rnacentral:rRNA from 1 species